rnacentral:rRNA from 1 species
GUGACAUUAUCCAAGUGUGGGAACCGCCACAGCGAUCGUUGGGUGAUAUCCGCAGCCAGGACUGCUUCUGUUUUGGUGCAACGACUAAGUCGUAAUGGCCGGCCCUGCCGGUAAAGAGAUAGUCUCAAUCUCGUGGGGAGACCCAUGACAGCUUUUGCAUUAAAUCAGUUAUCGUUUAUUUGAUAAUACCUUACCACUUGGAUAACUGUGGUAAUUCUAGAGCUAAUACAUGCUAAAAACCCCGACUUCGGAAGGGGUGUAUUUAUUAGAUAAAAAACCAAUGCCCUUCGGGGCUCCUUGGUGAUUCAUAAUAACUUAACGAAUCGCAUGGCCUUGCGCCGGCGAUGGUUCAUUCAAAUUUCUGCCCUAUCAACUUUCGAUGGUAGGAUAGUGGCCUACCAUGGUCUUAACGGGUAACGGGGAAUUAGGGUUCGAUUCCGGAGAGGGAGCCUGAGAAACGGCUACCACAUCCAAGGAAGGCAGCAGGCGCGCAAAUUACCCAAUCCCAAUCCGGGGAGGUAGUGACAAUAAAUACUGAUACAGGGCUCUUUCGGGUCUUGUAAUUGGAAUGAGAAAAAUCUAAAUCCCUUAACGAGGAACAAUUGGAGGGCAAGUCUGGUGCCAGCAGCCGCGGUAAUUCCAGCUCCAAUAGCGUAUAUUAAAGUUGUUGCAGUUAAAAAGCUCGUAGUUGAACCUUGGGUCUGGCUGAUCUGUCCUCCUAAUCGAGCGCACGGAUUCGGUCGGAC